rnacentral:rRNA from 1 species
GAUUGAACGCUGGCGGCAGGCUUACCACAUGAAAGUCGAACGGUAACAGGAAGCAGCUUGCUGCUUCGCUGACGAGUGGCGGACGGGUGCGUAAUGACUGGGAAGCUGCCUGAUGGUGGGGGAUAACUACUGGAAACGGUAGCUCAUACCGCAUAAUGUCGCAAGACCAAAGAGGGGGACCUUCGGGCCUCUUGCCAUCGGAUGUGCCCAGAUGGGAUUAGCUUGUUGGUGGGGUAACGGCUCACCAAGGCGACGAUCCCUAGCUGGUCUGAGAGGAUGACCAGCCACACUGGAACUGAGACACGGUCCAGACUCCUACGGGAGGCAGCAGUGGGGAAUAUUGCACAAUGGGCGCAAGCCUGAUGCAGCCAUGCCGCGUGUAUGAAGAAGGCCUUCGGGUUGUAAAGUACUUUCAGCGGGGAGGAAGGGAGUAAAGUUAAUACCUUUGCUCAUUGACGUUACCCGCAGAAGAAGCACCGGCUAACUCCGUG